GCGAUCCUCCUGCCUCAGCCUCCUGGGAGCUGGUCAUGCACCAUCAUGCCUGACAUAUUUGAACUUUUAAGACAUUGCUUAAUCUGUGUUACUUGGAAAGUGAAUUCACAGCUACAUGGUAGUUUUUGGGCACGUGGAAGAAGAAUUGGCCAGAAUACUACAAAGGCCCUUCCCUGUGCUGCUUACGCCUGCUGAACACGACUGAAACUUCUAAACAGGGACCCAACGUGACCUUCUCCUUCCGUAAAUUUUUGUUGCAGACACCAACGGCUGCUGGGGAUGGAUACUGAACACUGGAGUGCUGCCGAGGACAGGACAGAGUGACAGGUCAGCUGGUUGAAUCAAAGGAGGAAACUGUGGACCCUGAGAGCUGACCUUGCUGACUUCUGCUCCUCAGUUAUAGAGGAUUUUCAGUGGACGCAGAGGAACAACAGCCAGAUGGAGAGAUGCUGGGGACUUUAGUGCCUUCUUCCAGAUGCAAAUAUUCAUGUACCUGGAAGCCCUUUGAGUCCCCUUUCUUGGGGGAACCUGGAAGUUGCAGAAGGGAUGAAUGUUCUGCCUUGGUCCUGCCAGGUGGCCAGGUCCUUGCCUGAGUCAUCCCAACAACCCCAGGCCCGGACAACACAGUCUGCUUGUUUCACUCCUGUGCAAAAUAUGCGAUUCUUGCUGUGGAGGGCCCUAGGGUUUUAGAAGCCAUGUGACUGGAAAUGGGUGGAGAUCAAGUAUCUAUUUCACAAUGUCAUCCUUGGAGUAUGUCUCAGCUCUCAUACUCCUUUGUAUGUGCUGGGUUGGUACCUUUAGGGGAGGUGAUGGGUGCUUCUAUGUGCAGAGGGCGUGCUGCUCUUUGAGAUGACUGAAUGUUCCGUCAAAGUUGCAUUUUGUUGUAGAUAAGCCCUCCAGAGGAAUUUACAAGGAAUCUGUCAGAAAUGCUGAGUCAGCCUGACUCAUUCCUGGAAUAUUCUAGAACAGACUUUAUUCAUUAUAAUACUAAAUUCUCCACCUCAGAGCAGGCCUUCUUAUCCUCUUCUUGUGAACAGGCAAUGUGUAUGGAGUCAUGACCUCCCUCUGAGCAGCUUAGGAAUGAGCCUGUUUCUUCUACUGUGGUGCUGGGAUUUUUCAGGAUCCUCAGGAAGCAACAUCACAUCUCUGAGCAUUGUUUGGCUGCCUUGGCUAUGGGUUCUGUGGGAACCUGUCAGCACUUUGGCACUUACACCUACAACUCACCCCUCUGAGCCAUUUUUAUGAUGGGAGCAAAGAGCCUGCUUCUUGCCAAAGUCUGGGUUGGUUUACUUACUAAUGAGGCAGCACCAGUACUUUGCUUCCAAGAGCCAACUCGAUGGGAACUCGGUUUAAUCCUAAGAUCUUAAGUAAAGUCCAGAGGGAAGAGUCAAUCACUGAGCACUCCAAGUUCAGCGUUCUUAGUGGACCUCACUGACAAACUGAACGGGGGAGGUAUGGGAAGGU